AUGGAGUCAAAAGGUACCUAAGUAUAUGAUUGCCAAUGGAAAAAUAGGGGACAGAAAUCAGAUAUUGGCAGUUUUUCCAAUUUCAUUUGUGUGGGAAUUUUAAAUAUAACUGUGAGGGGCUGGGAAUAUGGCCUAGUGGCAAGAGUGUUCGCCUC